rnacentral:tRNA from 1 species
AGAAACUUAGGUUAAACUUAAACCAAGAGCCUUCAAAGCCCUUAAUAGAAGUUAAAAUCUUCUAGCUUCUG